GGAGGGAUGGCAGAGCGGUUGAUUGCGGUGGUCUUGAAAACCACUUAGGAUAAAGUCCUACGGGGGUUCAAAUCCCUCUCCCUCCGCCA
rnacentral:tRNA from 1 species